rnacentral:rRNA from 1 species
AUGGAUGACGCUGACACCUCCACUGGCUGGUUCCCCCUUUGGCUCGUGAUGCUGCUUUACAAGAUACAAGAUGCCAUCAGCUUUGUUGAAGAUGCAAAUGGCAUCUCCCCGUCCAUGAAUGAUGAGCAAGCAGCCUCUGGCUAUGUGGGCAGCUCAAGUGGUUGGCUGACGAGGCGCCAUGGAAAGGGCGAGCAAAAAGGCGUGGAGGAGAUGAGCGCAAUGUGUAGUCUGCUGAUUCAUUCAUUCAUUCACUUGCCAUGGUUCCUUUCUGAACAAUUGGACCUGGAGUGGGGCAUUGUCAACCAUUCGAAAUGCCCGAAAGAUAGUUCGGGCCGGGCUCAGGCUUCUAUUUUUCUGAAUUUCGGGCCAAGCUUGCACGUGCGCGUACUAAAAAACAUCAUUCGGGCCGGGCUUUCGGGCUUCGGGCUUGAUUUUAGGCCGGGCUCGGGCUUGAAAACAUGGAGUAUUUCGAGCUUCGGGCCGGGCUCGGGCUUGAGAAAUGAAGGUCAGGAUUUUGCAAGCCCGGCCGAAACCCGGCUCGGCCCGACGUUUGCCAGGGUUUAA